rnacentral:rRNA from 1 species
UACGUAGGGAGCAAGCGUUUGUCCGGAAUCAUUGGGCGUAAAGCGCGCGUAGGCGGCCUCGUAAGUCCGUUGUGAAAGUCAAAGGCUCAACCUUUGAAAGCCGAUGGAUACUGUGAGGCUAGAGUCCGGAAGAGGCGAGUGGAAUUCCUGGUGUAGCGGUGAAAUGGCGCAGAUAUCAGGAGGAACACCAAUGGCGAAGGCAGCACUCUGGGACGGUACUGACGCUGAGACGCGAAAGCGUGGGGAGCAAACAGG